rnacentral:rRNA from 1 species
GACGAACGCUGGCGGCGUGCCUAAUACAUGCAAGUCGAACGCUGAAGAGAGGAGCUUGCUCUUCUUGGCUGAGUUGCGAACGGGUGAGUUACGCGUAGGUCACCUGCCUUGUAGCGGGGGAUAACUAUUGGAAACGAUAGCUAAUCCCGCAUACCACUGGCUGGCAUAUCUCAUUUACUUACAAUGUGCAAUUGCUACACUACAAGAUGGAGCUUCGUUGUAUUAGUUAGUAGGUGUGGCAAUGGCUCACCCAGGCGACGGUACAUAGCCGACCUGAGAGGGUGGACAGAAACCAUGGGACUCAGACACGGCCCAGACUCCUACGAGAGAAAGCAGUAGGGAAUCUGCGGGGAUGGGGGCAAGCCUGACCGUGCAACGCCGCGUGAGUGCAGAAGGGUUUCGGAUCGUAAAGCUCUGUUGUAGGUCAAGAGCGGGGGUGGGAGUGUAAGGUUCACACUGUGACGGGAGUUUACCAGAAAGGGACGGCUCCCUACGUG